rfam:Oryza sativa Indica Group cultivar 93-11 Ctg046030, whole genome shotgun sequence.
ACUAUUGAGGUAGUGCCUCGGACGAAUACCCUAGGGGGUAGAGCACUGGAUGGGCUAGGGCGGCGCGAGCUGUACCAAACCUAACCAAACUCCGAAUACCUAGGAGUACUAUCCGGGAGACAGACGGCGGGUGCUAAGGUCCGUCGUCAAAAGGGAAACAGCCCUGACCUACAGCUAAGGUCCCCAAGUCACGUCUAAGUGGGAAAGCAUGUGGGAAUCCCAAAACAACCAGGAGGUUGGCUUAGAAGCAGCCAUCCUUUAAAGAAAGCGUAACAGCUCACUGGUCUAAACAAGGGUUCCUGCGGCGAAGAUGUAACGGGGCUCAAGACGUGCACCGAAGCUUAGGGUGUGUUCUUAUGAACACGCGGUAGCGGAGCGUUCCGUACGCCUGUGAAGCGGUCUGGUAAUGGACCGUGGAGGUAUCGGAAGUGCGAAUGCAGACAUGAGUAGCGAUAAAGAGGGUGAGAUGCCCUCUCGCCGAAAGACCAAGGGUUCCUGCGCAAGGCUAAUCCGCGCAGGGUGAGCCGGCCCCUAAGACGAGCCCGAAGGGGGUAGUCGAUGGGAACCACGUUAAUAUUCGUGGGCCUGGUGGUGUGUGACGGAUGGCGUGUGUUGUCGGAUCUUAUCGGAUUGAUCCGGCUUCGAAGCUGUCCCGGGAAAUAGCCCCACCGUAUAGACCGUACCCGAAACCGACACAGGUGGUCAGGUAGAGUAUACCAAGGCGCUUGAGAGAAGUGUCCUGAAGGAACUCGGCAAAUUGCCUCCGUACCUUCGGAAGAAGGAGGCCCGAUGUAAGCGCAAGCUCUCAUCGGGGGCACAGGCCAGGGGGUAGCGACUGUUUAGCAAAAACACAGGGCUCUGCUAAGUCGGCUUCAAGACGACGUAUAGGGCCUGACGCCUGCCCGGUGCCUGAAGGUUAAGUGGAGGGGUGCAAGCUCUGAAAUGAAGCCCAGGUAAACGGCGGCCGUAACUAUAACGGUCCUAAGGUAGCGAAAUUCCUUGUCGGGUAAGUUCCGACCUGCACGAAUGGCGUAACGACUUCCCCACUGUCUCCAGGACAUGCUCAGCGAAAUUGAAUUCUCCGUGAAGAUGCGGAGUACCCGCGGUUAGACGGAAAGACCCCGUGCACCUUUACUGCAGCUUCAGAGUGGCAUUAGGAAAGAACUGUGUAGCAUAGGUGGGAGGCUUUGAAGCGUUGUCGCCAGAUGACGUGGAGCCAUAGGUGAAAUACCACCCUGUUGUUUUCUGAUGUCUAACCUGCGUCCAUGAAACUGGACGAGGGACCCUCUGUGGCGGGUAGUUUGACUGGGGCGGUCGCCUUCCUAAAGAGUAACGGAGGCGUGCGAAGGUUGGCUCAGGUCGGUUGGAAACCGACCGUUAGAGUGCAAUGGCAUAAGCCAGCCUGACUGCGAGACUGACAAGUCGAGCAGAGACGAAAGUCGGUCAUAGUGAUCCGGUGGUCCCUCGUGGAAGGGCCAUCGCUCAACGGAUAAAAGGUACGCCGGGGAUACAGGCUGAUAACCCCCAAGAGCUCAUAUCGACGGGGUUGUUUGGCACCUCGAUGUCGGCUCAUCACAUCCUGGGGCUGGAGCAGGUCCCAAGGGUUUGGCUGUUCGCCAAUUAAAGUGGUACGUGAGCUGGGUUCAGAACGUCGCGAGACAGUUUGGUCCCUAUCUGCCGUGGGCGUCGAAAUUUGAGAGGAGUUGACCCUAGUACGAGAGGACCGGGGUGAACAUGCCUCUGGUGUACCUGUCGUCGUGCCAACGGCGCAGCAGGGUAGCUAUGCAUGGACGGGAUAACCGCUGAAAGCAUCUAAGCGGGAAGCCUCCCUCAAGAUAAGAUUUCUUAGGACGGUCGGAGACCACGACCUCGAUAGAUCGGAUGUGGAAGCGCAGUAAUGCGUGAAGCUAACCGAUACUAAUUGUCCUAUUCGCGCUUAA